AGUGAACGCUGGCGGUAGGCCUAACACAUGCAAGUCGAACGGCAGCACAGGAGAGCUUGCUCUCUGGGUGGCGAGUGGCGGACGGGUGAGGAAUACAUCGGAAUCUACUCUGUCGUGGGGGAUAACGUAGGGAAACUUACGCUAAUACCGCAUACGACCUACGGGGGAAAGCAGGGGACCUUCGGGCCUUGCGCCAUUGAAUGAGCCGAUGUCGGGUUAGCUAGUUGGAGGGGUAAAGGCCCACCAAGGCGACGAUCCGUAGCUGGUCUGAGAGGAUGAUCAGCCACACUGGAACUGAGACACGGUCCAGACUCCUACGGGAGGCAGCAGUGGGGAAUAUUGGACAAUGGGCGCAAGCCUGAUCCAGCCAUACCGCGUGGGUGAAGAAGGCCUUCGGGUUGUAAAGCCCUUUUGUUGGGAAAGAAAUCCAGCUGGCUAAUACCCGGUUGGGAUGACGGUACCCAAAGAAUAAGCACCGGCUAACUUCGUGCCAGCCGCCGCGGUAA
rnacentral:rRNA from 1 species